GGAAAUGACCCAACUUAAUCUUAAAUGGCAAAAUUUAGAAUUACUAUAUAUUUUUUUAAAUCUGUGAAUAGACUAAUUAAAAUGUGGGCCCGGGAUUUAGCUCAGUGGUUCCACCGCCCGCCUUGCAAGCACAAGGACCGGAGUUCGAUCCCCAGUACCAAAAAAAAAGUGCAACUGGAGCUAUUUGUGAUGUUGAACACAGGUAUCCGAGGGUCUGAUCAGCCCACGGCAGUCACCCCUUGUUGCUUUGCUGUCUUCUGUCCAUCAUGGACUGUUUCUGCAAUGCCCCUUUGCAUUGCCACCCUGCCUUGCAGCCAGCCAGUUAUGAACUGAAACCUCUACAAACUGUUAGCUAAAUAAACCUUUCCUCCC
rnacentral:lncRNA from 1 species